GAUGAACGCUAGCGACAGGCGUAACACAUGCAAGUCGAGGGGCAGCAUAAAAGUAGCAAUACUUUGGUGGCGACCGGCGCACGGGUGAGUAACGCGUAUGCAACCUACCUAUCAGAGGGGGAUAACCCGGCGAAAGUCGGACUAAUACCGCAUAAAACAGGGGCACCGCAUGGUGAUAUUUGUAAAAAUUUAUUGCUGAUAGAUGGGCAUGCGUUCCAUUAGGUAGUUGGAGAGGUAACGGCUCACCAAGCCCACGAUGGAUAGGGGAACUGAGAGGUUGGUCCCCCACACUGGUACUGAGACACGGACCAGACUCCUACGGGAGGCAGCAGUGAGGAAUAUUGGUCAAUGGGCGAGAGCCUGAACCAGCCAAGUCGCGUGAAGGAAGAAGGAUCUAUGGUUCGUAAACUUCUUUUGCAGGGGGAAUAAAGUGCAGGACGUGUCCUGUGCGGAUGACGGUACCGGCAUAAGAAGCACCGGNUAACUACGUGCCAGCAGCCGACGG
rnacentral:rRNA from 1 species